rnacentral:lncRNA from 1 species
AAAUACCUUGUCCGAAAAAUGCCUAUAGCCUUACUGAAGAGACUAUUUACAAAUACGGUAUAGAUGAACAAUGAUGUGUGACAGUAGUUGUCACUGGCUCUUCCCUAGGUAGCCAGGGAAAGGCUCAUUUAUUUGAGAAAAGCAAAGGCAUAGAAGGGAUAUUUUUGUGUAGGAAUGGGAGGUUGGGGAUGUGUAAGAGAUGAGAUUGGGAAAAACCUCAUUGUGUGUAUAUCUAUUUAUUUAUAAAAAUAUUCAUGUACUACCACAGUAUAUUAUGUGCUUUAUAAAAAACAUUCAAAAAAGACAAAAAUGAAAAAUUAUACAUAAACAGGAUUUCUAAUUAUCUUUCCCCACCCCUAUUGUAUUUUCUUGAACACCUAGGAAUAUCCUUACUCUGGGCUAUAGAAAUAAUGGAAGGUUGUUACAUAAAUAUAUUUAAUAUAGGUAAAUAUUACAUUCUGCUUUAUUUAUAGGUAUGUUCACAGAUUAAUUAUAGGGCCAUCUAUGUCCUUUGUCUUAUAUUUUUAAGACAAUUUUAUUCUUCAUUCAUGUCUCACAUGGCGUAUCUGACCUGGUGCUCCAUACAUAAUGGGCAUGCAUUAGGGUGACUGGCUUGCUCCUUUUACUUUGUGCCCAACUGUCUCAGGUACAUGUUAGUGUUUAACAAACAACCCCAAAACUUGGAUGGAGGCUAAAUAACAAUGGCUCAGAAUUCUGUGGGUUACUCCACAGCUUCAGCUUUCUUACAGCUAUUCUGGGCCUGGAUGGUCUAAGACGGGCUCUCACGUAUUUGGCUGUUGGUUAGUUGGACUAGGAGAGCCUCAGCCGGGUCAUCUCAUCUCAGCUGUAUGUGACUCUCAACUUACAAGAAGCUAGACCAGGCUUCCCCACAUGGUGGUCUCAGGAUAACAUUCCAAGAACGUGAGAGUUGAAGCUCCCAACAUCUCAUUUGUGAAAGAAUGUCACAAUGUCAGCCCAGAUUCAAGAUUGAGGAAAUAGAUUACACCUCUACAUGGAAGAAGAUACAAGGCCACAUUGCAAAGGAAUGGAAGGAAUUAACUGCAGCCAUCUUUGAAAAAGUUCACCACACCCACAGAUUCAGAUUUCUGUGAAAAUCUAAUAAAAGUCUAGUUUAAAAGAGGAGCGAAAUAUAUUUGGUUCUUUACUUCUUUUCAUUUCCUGGAAGUACAUAGGGUUUGGUUUUUGUUUUUUUCAUUUUACAUGAUGAAUUCCUAUGUUUUCCUCUUGCCCACAUAGUCCUGUGUGGAACAAUAGUCUACUGAUAAGAAUCAACUUGUAUCCUGCUGCUAAUCAAUGAGAAUUUCUCUGCCCUCAUCAACUUAAUCUAGGAUAUCCCUUCCAGAAUACCAAGAUAAUGUAAGCUUUUAUUUAGCAGGGUAAUUUGCUAAACAUUGUUCAUAAGUAGUGCCCUUUUAGCUUAAGGCAGCCCUGAGCUGCAACAGAAGACUGAAUGGAGCUCUGUAUACAUUCUAGCUUCCUCACCUCACUCUUAAAGUGGGUUAGAUGAAAUCUGGUAGGAGAACAUAGAUCAUUUGCCAGUGAUGAUAUUCAUAAGUGGUAAAAAAAGGAAUGACCUGAAACAUUUUUAUACUGUGUUUGUUAUUCUUCUAAAGAGAUUAGAGUUUUACUGAGACCACCAAUUCUCUUUGGAGGCUGGGGAUAGUAGCAUCAACAUUCUCACUGAUUAAUGAAGUGGUGUUCACAUUGGAUUUGUGAACAGACCCAUCAUAUGCAGACUUCUGGUCUACUGAGGAGCAUGUGUCUCUACAUGUUUACAGUGGUGGAGUUUCCUUGCCCCUCUGCCAAUAACCACAAAAUGAUCAGUAAUGAGAAAUAAUUAAGUAUCUAGAGGAAGAAAACAAAGACAUGAAUUUCAUGAUACUCUCAUGCUUUGUAUUAUCAGUGACUUCAUUGUUUCUCUUGGCAAAUUUUUAAUGCAUCUGUGCUUGGCCCAGGGGUGCAUACUAGGGUAAAGAAAAAUUUUGUAAUAGCAACAGUGGUUUGGGAUUUUCAGGGU